rnacentral:rRNA from 1 species
GCUCAGGACGAACGCUGGCGGCGUGCCUAAUACAUGCAAGUCGAGCGGACCCUUCGGGGUUAGCGGCGGACGGGUGAGUAACACGUAGGCAACCUGCCUGUAAGAUYGGGAUAACUACCGGAAACGGUAGCUAAGACCGGAUAACUAACCGSAUCGCAUGAUGCGGUUAUGAAACACGGCGCAAGCUGUGGCUUACAGAUGGGCCUGCGGCGCAUUAGCUAGUUGGUGGGGUAACGGCYCACCAAGGCGACGAUGCGUAGCCGACCUGAGAGGGUGAUCGGCCACACUGGGACUGAGACACGGCCCAGACUCCUACGGGAGGCAGCAGUAGGGAAUCUUCCGCAAUGGACGCAAGUCUGACGGAGCAACGCCGCGUGAGUGAUGAAGGUUUUCGGAUCGUAAAGCUCUGUUGCCAGGGAAGAACGCCUUGGGGAGUAACUGC